rnacentral:rRNA from 1 species
GAAUUCGCCCUUAGAGUUUGAUCCUGGCUCAGGACGAACGCUGGCGGCGCGCCUAACACAUGCAAGUCGAACGAGCGAGAGAGAGCUUGCUUUUCUCGAGCGAGUGGCGAACGGGUGAGUAACGCGUGAGGAACCUGUCUCAAAGAGGGGGACAACAGUUGGAAACGACUGCUAAUACCGCAUAAGCCCACGGCUCGGCAUCGAGCAGAGGGAAAAGGAGCAAUCCGCUUUGAGAUGGCCUCGCGUCCGAUUAGCUAGUUGGUGAGGUAAUGGCCCACCAAGGCGACGAUCGGUAGCCGGACUGAGAGGUUGAACGGCCACAUUGGGACUGAGACACGGCCCAGACUCCUACGGGAGGCAGCAGUGGGGAAUAUUGCACAAUGGGGGAAACCCUGAUGCAGCGACGCCGCGUGGAGGAAGAAGGUCUUCGGAUUGUAAACUCCUGUUGUUGAGGAAGAUAAUGACGGUACUCAACAAGGAAGUGACGGCUAACUACGUGCCAGCAGCCGCGGUAAAACGUAGGUCACAAGCGUUGUCCGGAAUUACUGGGUGUAAAGGGAGCGCAGGCGGGAAGACAAGUUGGAAGUGAAAUCCAUGGGCUCAACCCAUGAACUGCUUUCAAAACUGUUUUUCUUGAGUAGUGCAGAGGUAGGCGGAAUUCCCGGUGUAGCGGUGGAAUGCGUAGAUAUCGGGAGGAACACCAGUGGCGAAGGCGGCCUACUGGGCAUCAACUGACGCUGAGGCUCGAAAGUGUGGGUAGCAAACAGGAUUAGAUACCCUGGUAGUCCACACUGUAAACGAUGAUUACUAGGUGUUGGAGGAUUGACCCCUUCAGUGCCGCAGUUAACACAAUAAGUAAUCCACCUGGGGAGUACGACCGCAAGGUUGAAACUCAAAGGAAUUGACGGGGGCCCGCACAAGCAGUGGAGUAUGUGGUUUAAUUCGACGCAACGCGAAGAACCUUACCAAGUCUUGACAUCCUGCGACGGUGCUGGAAACAGUACUUUCCUUCGGGACGCAGAGACAGGUGGUGCAUGGUUGUCGUCAGCUCGUGUCGUGAGAUGUUGGGUUAAGUCCCGCAACGAGCGCAACCCUUAUGGUCAGUUACUACGCAAGAGGACUCUGGCCAGACUGCCGCUGACAAAACGGAGGAAGGUGGGGAUGACGUCAAAUCAUCAUGCCCUUUAUGACUUGGGCUACACACGUACUACAAUGGCGUUAAACAAAGAGAAGCAAGACCGCGAGGUGGAGCAAAACUCAGAAACAACGUCCCAGUUCGGACUGCAGGCUGCAACUCGCCUGCACGAAGUCGGAAUUGCUAGUAAUCGCAGAUCAGCAUGCUGCGGUGAAUACGUUCCCGGGCCUUGUACACACCGCCCGUCA